CAAUCCCAAUACACAAGGAGAAAAACGACAUAUUUACAAGUUCGUUACCGCACAGUUGACCUGCAGAACCGAGUUUUGUUCGAUGCAAGGUCAUUUGAAAUGCACCAUGGAACCAACGCAUGUGAUCCACGUUAAGUGAUAUGACGUCCCAGUACAAAUGGCGUCACCCAGCUGGUGCUAUGAGAAAAUAAUGAUUGCAAAUGUUGCCCGAAACAAAAGAACUGCCGGAGAAAGAAGCGACCGAAGAAAGGAGAUAAGACAGAACGAAAACCUCAAGAACGAAGAUGGAGCCAUAGCAUACCAAGACUAAGAUUUAUUCUUAGUCGAUGUAAAUACUAACUUAUGUGAGCUGUAGCAUAAAAUGUCCCUUAUACUUAUUGAAUGCUUGUUUUAAAAUUGAAUGUUUAUGUGGUACACGGUGUGUUGUGGGGUGGGGAAGUAUACGGAGAUCCAAAUAUUAAAAGUCCACCUUUGUACACGUUAGUAAUGUAACGUGGUUGGGAAUCUUGGGUCUUAUUUCUUCAUAUGUGUAUGUGUGGUAAACAACCUGCAUAAGAACGGUGCGCGCAGGUCAGA